UUAAUUCAUUAUAUUGUUUUUUUCUUUUUUUAAACGCACAUAAUGGACUGCUUCAGGAUUGGGUUCGCAUGUUCUUAUCCGUGUGGAAAGUCCCUGAAGUUCCCCGUCGAAACAAUCACUGUCCAUCUCCGCUCGGGAAAUGAGCUUUAAAUCGUGAGGAAAAGGAAGGCCGGUUUUGACAGCCGACGUGCAAAUAUGAGGCGAUGGAAUCUCAAUGAGGCUCGAAAAAGGGAAAUGCAUAAAUAGAUUAGAGUGAAUGUGCCCAAGCAAAUCUAAUUAUGAAGCCGCCGGAUCUCCUGAUUUAGGAGAGAGAGUGAGAGUGUGUGUGUGUGUGUGUGUGUGUGUAUGAUUCCACACUCUUUGGCAUGUAUUUGAUGAGAUUUGUGACGUAGACAAAGAACUAGAGUCUCAGAUUUCCAUGUAAAUUGGAUGAGCUUCUGCUGCAAGUUUGCAUGAGGAAUCGUUAACAGUCUGAGAUGAACAAUUCAGCUUUCAUCAAACUCAGGGACUUCAGACUUUACCAUCACUCAUCCAUUACUGACGGCGACAGAGAAUCAUGUACGUUUUGGAGGACAAGAACCAUCACAAACACACAUUAGCUUUGGCUUUUCAAGGACGUGAUGUAUAAUUCAUUUUGGAGAGAGGAAAGGGAAGGUGUGGAUGAAACAUUUAUUUCUUUUCUGCUCCCAUAAACAGGCCUUUUAGCG